rnacentral:rRNA from 1 species
UCCUACGGGAGGCAGCAGUGGGGAAUAUUGCACAAUGGGCGAAAGCCUGAUGCAGCGACGCCGCGUGAGGGAUGAAGGCCUUCGGGUUGUAAACCUCUUUCAGCAGGGAAGAAGCAGCCGGGUUUUCUUGGUUGUGACGGUACCUGCAGAAGAAGCACCGGCUAACUACGUGCCAGCAGCCGCGGUAAUACGUAGGGUGCAAGCGUUGUCCGGAAUUAUUGGGCGUAAAGAGCUUGUAGGCGGUUUGUCGCGUCUGCUGUGAAAUUUCGGGGCUCAACCCCGAACUUGCAGUGGGUACGGGCAGACUAGAGUGUGGUAGGGGAGACUGGAAUUCCUGGUGUAGCGGUGAAAUGCGCAGAUAUCAGGAGGAACACCGAUGGCGAAGGCAGGUCUCUGGGCCACUACUGACGCUGAGAAGCGAAAGCAUGGGGAGCGAACAGGAUUAGAUACCCUGGUAGUCCAUGCCGUAAACGUUGGGAACUAGGUGUGGGCCUCAUUCCACGAGGUCCGUGCCGCAGCUAACGCAUUAAGUUCCCCGCCUGGGGAGUACGGCCGCAAGGCUAAAACUCGAAGGAAUUGACGGGGGCCCGCACAAGCGGCGGAGCAUGCGGAUUAAUUCGAUGCAACGCGAAGAACCUUACCAAGGCUUGACAUGUGCCGGUAAAGUGCAGAGAUGUGCUCCCCGCAAGGUCGGUACACAGGUGGUGCAUGGUUGUCGUCAGCUCGUGUCGUAAGAUGUUGGGUUAAGUCCCGCAACGAGCGCAACCCUCGUUCUAUGUUGCCAGCACGUGAUGUGGGGACUCAUAGGAGACUGCCGGGGUCAACUCGGAGGAAGGUGGGGAUGACGUCAAAUCAUCAUGCCCCUUAUGUCUUGGGCUUCACGCAUGCUACAAUGGCCAGUACAAAGGGCUGCGAUACCGCAAGGUGGAGCGAAUCCCAAAAAACUGGUCUCAGUUCGGAUUGGGGUCUGCAACUCGACCCCAUGAAGUCGGAGUCGCUAGUAAUCGCAGAUCAGCAACGCUGCGGUGAAUACGUUCCCGGGCCUUGUACACACCGCCAU